GGGGGUGAGAGGAGGGCGAGACUGUCCUAAACUCGGAACUUGAUUAUGUCCUUCCUUUUCCUUCCUCGUCCCCGGCGUCUGCGGAUUCUGAAAAUUAAUCAGACGAAUUAGCGAUGCGUCAAGACCGGUAAUAAAACACCGUGCCAUCUUUAUUAGCCUCACCCCUUCUCCCCCCCUUCCCUCCCCUCCCCCAUGUUGCUGGUGCUGCUGCGGCUAAUAAUGAGAGCGAAUUAAGUGAAUGUGUUCGUUCCGGGAAGGUAAAAAAAUAAAAUAAAAUACAGGUAAACUAAUUAUGGCGGCGUUUUUUUCGAUAUGCUGAUGAGUUUCGGCAAUGAGGAGUCCUUGCUUGUGCUAAUAAUUAUGUAUUUUGUGUUAUUCCUCUUUGUCUUUAGUUAAUUAUUCUCCUCUGUGUCUGAAGUGUGAAGUGUAAGGAGAGGAAAUUGAAAAAAUGAGGAAAAGGGAAGUAAGGAAAGAAGGAAUGGGCUCACUUUAUUAACGGUGCAGAAAAGGUCAAUAAAGUAUAAAUAAGUAUAAGUAUAUAGAUGUUUUGUGGCUUGGUAUGGCUUGUCUUGGAUUAAUGAGUUUCAGCAGUGAAUAGUCCUUAGGUUCGUUAAUCAUCUGUCUUGCGCUGUUCCUUUGUUUUUAGUUCAUUAUUCUCAGUGUCUGAAGUAGUGUGUUGAGGUUAUAGAUGUUUUGUGGCUCAGUAUUGGUUGUCUUGCGGAUUAGUGAGUUUCGGCAGUGAGGAGUUCUUAGGUGCGUCAGUCAUUUGUCUUUUGCGCUGUUCAUUUGUUUUUAGUUCAUUAUUCUCCGUGUCUGAAGUAGUAUGUUGAGGAUAUAGAUGUUUUGUGGCUUAGUAUUGGUUGUCUUGAGGAUUAAUAAGUUCCGGCAAUGAAUAGUCCUUAGGUUCGUUGAUCAUCUGUCUUUUGCGCUGUUCAUUUGUUUUUAGUUCAUUAUUCUCCGUGUCUGAAGUAGUAUGUUGAGGAUAUAGAUGUUUUGUGGCUCAGUAUUGGUUGUCUUGCGGAUUAAUGAGUUCCGGCAAUGAAUAGUCCUUAGGUUCGUUAAUCAUCUGUCUUGCGCUGUUCCUUUGUUUUUAGUUCAUUAAUCUCUGUGUCUGAAGUAGUGUGUUGAGGAUAUAGAUGUUUUGUGGCUUAGUAUCGGUUGUCUUGCGGAUUAGUGAGUUUCGGCAGUGAGGAGUUCUUAGGUGCGUCAAUCAUCUGUCUUUUGCGCUGUUCAUUUGUUUUCAAUUGAUUCUUCUUCUCUGUGUCUGAAGUGUGUCGAGGUUAUAGAUGUUUUGUGGCUUAGUAUUGGUUGUCUUGCGGAUUAAUGAGUUCCGGCAAUGAAUAGUCCUUAGGUUCGUUAAUCAUCUGUCUUUUGCGCUGUUCAUUUGUUUUUAGUUGAUUAUUCUCUGUGUUUGAAGUGUGCUGAGGUUAUAGGGAUGUUUUGCGGCUAAGUAUUUGUUCUCUUGCGUAUCUGAGUUUAAAGUUAGUGAGUUUCGGCAAUGUGGAGUCCUUACGUGUGUUAAUCAUCUGUCCUUUGCGCUCUUUCUUUGCCUUUAGUUAAUUGUUCUCCGUGUCUGAAGUGUGUCGAGGUUACAGAUUUUUGUGGCUUUGAGUAUUUGUUUGUUUUCUUGCGGCGUUUCCUACUACCGUACUGUGUUUGGGAAAGUAACCGUAAAUGACAUUCACCAAUUCCUAACCUAACCUAACCUAACCUAACCUAACCUAACCUAACGCAACCUAACCUAACCUAACCUAACCUAACCUUACCUAACCUAACCUAACCUAACGCAACCUGCCCCGUUCAAGAGUGGAAUAUGCUCCCCGGCGAAGGUGAAGGUGCGUCUCCUCACAAAGAAUCGCGGGAGUGUUUAUAAAAGUGUUCCCAUGUAGCUAACAGACAAUUGAAGGUGCAUACAAGCUUACCAUGAGCCAGGAAACAGUAAACUACCCUGAAUUAAGGAAAUGCUGGUAAAUGUUCCCCUAGAUUUAGAGGCUUCGGGAGAGGACAGUACAAACCCGCCUCGAGUCAGGGAAAUAUUGCUAAAAAGUCUUCCUGGGUCCAGAGGUCACGCGAGGGGAGGAGGGAAAGGAAGUAAAAGAAGAGGAAAUGGAUAAAAAAUGAGGAAAAAGGAAGUAAGGAAAGAGGGAAUGGGCUCACUUUAUUAACGGUUCUGAAAAGGUCACUAAAGGGAAGGAAUGAAAAGAAAUAAAAGGAAAGGAAAUGGACAAAAACGAAAGAAAGAAAGAAGGAAGGAAAGAAAGAAGGAACAGGCUUGCUUUAUUAACGGUGCAGAAAAGGUCACUAAAGGGAAGGAAAGUAAGCAGAAGAAAGGAAUAAAGGAGAGGAAAGGGGAUGGAAAUAAAACAAACAAAGGAAGGAAGGAAGAACAGACUACUUUAAGAUUAACGACUCAGAGAAGAAGAUAAGUCGAGGGGAGGAAGGAAAGGAAGUGGAAAGAAAACGAAGGAAGGAAGGAAUGAAGGAAGAACAGAAGGAACAGG